rnacentral:rRNA from 1 species
GUGAUUAACGCGAAGAACCUUACCAGGUCUUGACAUCCCUCUGAAGUAGCCUUAGCCGGCUAUGUCCUUCGGGACAGGGGAGACAGGUGGUGCAUGGUUGUCGUCAGCUCGUGUCGUGAGAUGUUGGGUUAAGUCCCGCAACGAGCGCAACCCUUGUGUUUAGUUGCCAACAGGUAAAGCUGUGCACUCUAAACAGACUGCCGUGGAUAACACGGAGGAAGGUGGGGAUGACGUCAAAUCAUCAUGCCCCUUAUGAUCUGGGCUACACACGUGCUACAAUGGUCGGUACAACGGGCAGCGAAAGAGUAAUCUGGAGCGAAUCCUAAAAAGCCGAUCCCAGUUCGGAUUGUGGGCUGAAACUCGCCCACAUGAAGUUGGAGUUGCUAGUAAUCGCGAAUCAGAAUGUCGCGGUGAAUGCGUUCCCGGGUCUUGUACACACCGCCCGU